rnacentral:rRNA from 1 species
AUUGAACGCUGGCGGCAGGCCUAACACAUGCAAGUCGAACGAGUGGCGGACGGGUGAGUAAUGUCUGGGAAACUGCCCGAUGGAGGGGGAUAACUACUGGAAACGGUAGCUAAUACCGCAUACCAUCGGAUGUGCCCAGAUGGGAGUAGCUUGUAGGUGAGGUAACGGCUCACCUAGGCGACGAUCCCUAGCUGGUCUGAGAGGAGGACCAGCACCACGGGAACGGAGACACUGUCCAGACUCCUACGGGAGGCAGCAGUGGGGAAGAGUGCACAAUGGGGGCAAGCUGGAUGCAGCCAUGCCGGGUGUAUGAAGAAGGCCUUCGGGUUGUAAAGUACUUUCAGCGGGGAGGCGUGACCCGCAGAAGAAGCACCGGCUAACUCCGUGCCAGCCGCCGCGGUAAUAC